GUCGAUGUGGUGGAAUUGGUAGACACGCUAUCUUGAGGGGGUAGUGGCGAAAGCCGUGCGAGUUCAAGUCUCGCCAUCGACACCA
rnacentral:tRNA from 1 species